UACGGAGGGUGCGAGCGUUGUCCGGAAUCACUGGGCGUAAAGGGCGCGUAGGCGGCCUGAUAAGUAGGGGGUGAAAUCCUGCGGCUUAACCGCAGGGCUGCCUUCUAAACUGUCAGGCUUGAGCACAGUAGAGGCAGGUGGAAUUCCCGGUGUAGCGGUGGAAUGCGUAGAGAUCGGGAAGAACAUCGGUGGCGAAAGCGCUCUACUGGACCGCAACUGACACUCAGGGACGAAAGCUAGGGGAGCGAAUGGG
rnacentral:rRNA from 1 species